UACCUUGUUACGACUUCGCGCCAAUCAUCGGCCCUACCUUAGACGGUUGCUUCCUUGCGGUUAGCGCGCCGGUUUCGGGUAAGACCAACUUUCGUCUCGUGACGGGCGGUGUGUGCAAGGCCCGGGAACGUAUUCAACGCCGUAUUGCUGACCGGCGUUUACUAGCGAUUCCGACUUCAUGGAGUCGAGUUGCAGACUCCAAUCCGAACUGAGACCGGCUUUCUGAGAUUAGCAUCGCCUCGCGGCAUAGCAACCCUUUGUACCGGCCAUUGUAGCAUGUGUGCAGCCCAGGGCGUAAGGGGCAUGAUGACUUGACGUCACCCCCACCUUCCUCCUCUUUACAGAGGCAGUUUGUUCCGAGUUCCCGACAUUACUCGCUGGCAACAGAACAUGAGGGUUGCGCUCGUUGCGGGACUUAACCCAACAUUUCACAACACGAGCUGACGACAGCCAUGCACCACCUGUGCAACACCUUCGAAAGCGAGUGGCUUUCACCACCUUGCAGUUGCAUGUCAAGCCCUGGUAAGGUUCUUCGCGUUGCAUCAAAUUAAGCCACAUGCUCCACCGCUUGUGCGGGCCCCCGCCAAUUCCUUUGAGUUUCAACCUUGCGGCCGUAGUCCCCAGGCGGUUCACUUAAUGCGUUAGCUGCGGCACCGAGGCUUACGCCCCAACACCUAGUGAACAUCGUUUAUGGCUAAGACUACCAGGGUAUCUAAUCCUGUUUGCUACCUUAGCUUUCGUGCCUGAGCGUCAUUAUUCGUCCAGAAGAGUGCUUUCCCCUUUGGUGUUCGACACAUCUCAACGCAUUUCACCGCUGCACGUGUUCUUUCCCUC
rnacentral:rRNA from 1 species